ensembl:lncRNA
ACCAGGCUGGGGAGCGGAAGCAGGAGACACCGGAAGCCAGUGGGCUCUGACUGGAGAGAGCGGCCUGGCUCCCUGCAGAGUGGGCUUCUGAUCGUGCGGAGGGGCCUCGAGGUCUGAGAGGAUGCUCUGUUGGUGUCUGUUUUGAUUAACGACCCUGGAAGCUAUCGGCUCCUUCCAGUUAUUCCCUGGUUCAAAAGAAUCCCUCAGGAGGAGAAAUAACGCUUUUCUAGCAAGAAGGAGGAAGAUCCCACAUGCCACAGAGCAACUAAGCCGAUGGGCCACAACUACCAAGCCUGGGAGCUACAACUACUGAGCCCACACGCUGAAACUACUGAAGCCUGCGUGCCCUAGAACCCGUGCUCCCAACAAGAGAAGCCACCACAAUGAGAUGCCCACGCACAACUGAAGAGUAGCCCCCACUCGCUGCAAAAGCCUGCACAGCACCAAAGACUCAGUAGAGCCAAAAAAAUUUUUAAUGGGACCUCACAGGACUUUUCAGAGCCUUUAUGAUGGCAAAAUAUUAACUACAGUUCCCAGUGGAGAGGAUCACUGAACUCUUUGUUCUUAAAAAUCCUAGUCCUGUUCAUCUUGGGGCUGACCCACAUUACAGCAUUUGACUUCCUUGGCUGCCUCUCACACCUGGAAGAGGCACUAAAAUUUUUGUUAAACCCCUUACCCUGAUUUUUAUUUAGACAAUAAAGGUCAACAUAGCUAUCCCAAUGUGUACCAAACUUUCUUCUAUUUUCUCCAAAAACGGUGAUUUAUUUCCUGGGACUUGGAAGGAUUUUAAGUUCUUUAUUUAAAC